rnacentral:rRNA from 1 species
GUAGUUAGCCGUGACUUAUUCCUGAGGUACCGUCCUUCCUCUUCCCCCAGAAAAGAGCUUUACAACCCGAAGGCCUUCAUCGCUCACGCGGCGUUGCUGCCUCAGACUUUCGUCCAUUGGGCAAUAUUCCUCA